ACUAAAUAGAUACCCUGGUAGUCCACGCUGUAAACGAUGAGAGCUAGUUGUCGGCACGCAUGCGUGCCGGUGACGCAGCUAACGCAUUAAGCUCUCCGCCUGGGGAGUACGGCCGCAAGGUUAAAACUCAAAGAAAUUGACGGGGCCCGGCACAAGCGGUGGAGCAUGUGGUUUAAUUCGAAGCAACGCGCAGAACCUUACCCACGUUUGACAUGUCUCGUUGGUUCGCCAGAGAUGGCUUCCUUCAGUUCGGCUGGCGAGAACACAGGUGCUGCAUGGCUGUCGUCAGCUCGCGUCGUGAGAUGUUGGGUUAAGUCCCGCAACGAGCGCAACCCUCGCUACUAGUUGCCAUCAGGUUAUGCUGGGCACUCUAGUGGAACUGCCGGUGGCAAGCCGGAGGGAGGUGGGGAUGACGUCAAGUCCUCAUGGCCCUUACGCGUGGGGCUACACACGUGCUACAAUGGU
rnacentral:rRNA from 1 species